AUUGAACGCUGGCGGCAUGCUUUACACAUGCAAGUCGAACGGCAGCGCGGGCUUCGGCCUGGCGGCGAGUGGCGAACGGGUGAGUAAUACAUCGGAACGUGCCCAGUAGUGGGGGAUAGCUCGGCGAAAGCCGGAUUAAUACCGCAUACGACCUGAGGGUGAAAGCGGGGGAUCUUCGGACCUCGCGCUAUUGGAGCGGCCGAUGGCAGAUUAGCUAGUUGGUGGGGUAAAGGCCUACCAAGGCGACGAUCUGUUGCUGGUCUGAGAGGACGACCAGCCACACUGGGACUGAGACACGGCCCAGACUCCUACGGGAGGCAGCAGUGGGGAAUUUUGGACAAUGGGCGAAAGCCUGAUCCAGCAAUGCCGCGUGUGUGAUGAAGGCCUUCGGGUUGUAAAGCACUUUUGGCGGGAACGAAAAGGACUGUGCAAAUACCACGGUUCGAUGACGGUACCCGCAGAAUAAGCACCGGCUAACUACGUG
rnacentral:rRNA from 1 species